UACGUAGGGGGCUAGCGUUGUCCGGAUUUACUGGGCGUAAAGAGCGUGUAGGCGGCCAUACAGGUCCGUUGUGAAAACUGGAGGCUCAACUUCCAGACGUCGACGGAAACCGUGUGGCUAGAGUCCGGAAGAGGAGAGUGGAAUUCCUGGUGUAGCGGUGAAAUGCGCAGAUAUCAGGAAGAACACCAAUGGCGAAGGCAGCUCUCUGGGACGGUACUGACGCUGAGAUGCGAAAGCGUGGGGAGCGAACAGG
rnacentral:rRNA from 1 species